rnacentral:tRNA from 1 species
UGGAUCACCUCCUAACAGGGAGACAACACAAUGAUUUUGAUGCCUGAGUGUUUUUAUUCUUAGGCCGAAAUUCUGUCACCUUAGGUCGAUCGGUACCUCAGCUUUGAAGUUAAGACGAUACAGAAAUGUAUGGUGCUUGAUGGAGAUUUUCAGUUCCUAAACUUUGUCUAGGUCACACCCCACAAGGGUUGAGUCUUCCUGGGCCAUUAGCUCAGGUGGUUAGAGCGCACCCCUGAUAAGGGUGAGGUCCCUGGUUCAAGUCCAGGAUGGCCCAUUCGGUGUUGGGGGUUUAGCUCAGUUGGUAGAGCGCCUGCUUUGCAAGCAGGAUGUCAGGAGUUCGAGUCUCCUAACCUCCACUGACCGAACUUAAUCUCCAUCUUCUGAUUGAUUGGAAGGUGAACUCGAGUGUGAGAGGUGUGAUUUGGAUGUGUCCGCUGGCAUGACCCCAGCUUCCUGUCAUUGCAAGAUUGAGUGAGCAAUCACGUUGAUUUUGGUUGAUAAGAUGCUGGGCUCGAACUGAGCGAUCAGUUUGAUGUCUAGCAGAACCUUGACAACUGCAUAGGUGAGUCUGGAAAGAAUAAAGCAUCUCUCAUGGAUGCAUCAUUUCUUUUUGGAAUGAUGUUGAUUCUUGAGCAAGAGCCGAGACUCCAUCACGUUCUUUUCAUUGUGUCGAGCAAUGAAGAGUUUGAACAUCGAUUCAGAAUGAAUCAGUGAGAAUCUGUUUCAACGACAGCAAGCGUGUUGGAGAUUAUAUGGUCAAGCUACAAAGGGCUCACGGUGGAUACCUUGGCACACAGAGGCGAUGAAGG